rnacentral:rRNA from 1 species
GGGAUGACACAGUAGGAUAAGCUAAGCACACUGUUGGUUAUGUGUGCCCAAGCAUUGAGGCAGUCAAAGUAGGCAAAUCCGCUUUGAUAAUGCUGGGAUGUGAUGGGGAGCGAAAUUUAGUAGCGAAGUAGCUGAUUUCACACUGUCAAGAAAAGUCUCUAUCGAGGUUAAAGGUACCCGUACCGCAAACCGACACAGGUGGGUGAGGAGAGUAUCCUAAGGCCAGCGAGAGAACUGUUGUUAAGGAACUCGGCAAAAUGACCCCGUAACUUAGGGAUAAGGGGUGCCACCAUCAGGUGGCCGCAGAGAAUAGGCCCAAGCGACUGUUUACCAAAAACAUAGGUUUCUGCUAAGUCGCAAGACGAUGUAUAGGAGCUGACGCCUGCCCGGUGCUGGAAGGUUAAGGGGAUCUGUUAGAGCAAUCGAAGCAGUGAACUUAAGCCCCAGUAAACGGCGGCCGUAACUAUAACGGUCCUAAGGUAGCGAAAUUCCUUGUCGGGUAAGUUCCGACCCGCACGAAAGGCGUAACGAUUUGGGCACUGUCUCAACAACAGACUCGGUGAAAUUGUAAUUCCGGUGAAGAUGCCGGAUACCUGCGACAGGACGGAAAGACCCCAUGGAGCUUUACUGUAGCUUGACAUUGGGUCUUGGUACUACAUGUACAGGAUAGGUGGGAGGCUUUGAAACCAGGACG